CCUACGGGGGGCAGCAGUGGGGAAUUUUGGACAAUGGACGAAAGUCUGAUCCAGCAAUGCCGCGUGCAGGACGAAGGCCUUCGGGUUGUAAACUGCUUUUGUACGGAACGAAACGGUCUUCUUUAAUACAGAGGGCUAAUGACGGUACCGUAAGAAUAAGCACCGGCUAACUACGUGCCAGCAGCCGCGGUAAUACGUAGGGUGCGAGCGUUAAUCGGAAUUACUGGGCGUAAAGCGUGCGCAGGCGGUUAUAUAAGUCAGAUGUGAAAUCCCCGGGCUCAACCUGGGACCUGCAUUUGAGACUGUAUAGCUAGAGUACGGUAGAGGGGGAUGGAAUUCCGCGUGUAGCAGUGAAAUGCGUAGAUAUGCGGAGGAACACCGAUGGCGAAGGCAAUCCCCUGGACCUGUACUGACGCUCAUGCACGAAAGCGUGGGGAGCAAACAGGAUUAGAUACCCCAGUAGUC
rnacentral:rRNA from 1 species